GACCUGAUAGUGUAACGGAUAGCAUGGGACCCUACGAAGGUCUUGGUCCUGGUUCGAAUCCAGGUUGGGUCA
rnacentral:tRNA from 1 species